UUUAAACGGCUGAGAUGAUUUAUUUUUUUUCAUUAAAGGCUGAGAUGCUUUGUGAGAUUUCCGCAUUCCCGCCCAAAACAAUCCCUCUCUCCCUCUCUCUCUGCAGCGUCCCACCCAAGGCUGAGAUGGUUUGUUUUUAUUUGCACUUCUCUCUCUCUUCCUCUCCCUCCCCCUCCGUUCCACUGCCGCUCCGCUUCCACCGUGGCGCCGCCUCCGAACUCCACUAACAGCAACUCUUCAUCUUUUCUCCCUCCCAGAUCUCAGAUCUUCACUCUCCUCCGAUCUCCACGGAUAGCAACUCCUUCUGCCUCUCGAACUCGGCUUGCAAGUACACUGCCUUUGAUCAGCUUAAACGGAGACUACUGAAGAGGCAGCUAAGCAAGAAAAGAGGUACAAAACCAUCCUCGGAAGCUCUUUCUGCCUUUUCUGCUUUUGUGCUGGGUGCAAUCUCAAAGUGUAUUGCCACCUGCUUAACAUAUCCGGCUAUCAGGUGUAAGGUGACGAUUCAGGCUAAAUCAGAUGAAGAUGAGAUCAAGGAAGAUCAACUGAAAGCCCAAAAGACAGUCUCAGGUGCAAUCCAUACGAUUUGGAAAAGGGAAGGGCUACUUGGUUUCUUCAAAGGAUUACGGGCUCAGAUUUUGAAGACUGUGCUAAGCUCGGCAUUGCUUAUGAUGGUGAAGGAGAAGAUCACAAAAACCACAUGGGUUUUAAUGUUAGCACUUCAAAGGUAUUUGUCAAUAACCAAGACCAGAUUAAAGAAUGCUUAAAUGAACCACGAUAAGAGGGAUUCUAUGCAACAAUUCCUUAUAAAGAAAGAGACUUCAUUCAAGGUAAUAAUAUCAUAGAUUUUAGAGCUUUGUAAGGCUUUCCAAAGGGCAUGUAAAAAUUAUCGACAUAAGAAGAAACUGAGAUAUGGCAAUAUUUAUGUCACAUACAUAUUCUCCUCUUGACAUUCCUUUAACACUUAACAGCACACGACUCUUCAAGAUUGGAAAGAAAACUAUGUCAGUUAUUUAGUAUAUUUAAAUUAUCUUACGCUUAAACAUCUUUAGGUUUUAUUAUGUAAUGGUAAAACUUUAAAACUAUUUAUUACCUUAAUUAGUGUUGCUAUUAUUUAGUAUAUUUGAGUUAUUGAGUGUUGCUAUUUAUUACCUUCUCUGACUCUGGAGAACUGCACUGCACCUGUUGGAUUUUUGAGUUGAUUUUCGUAGAGGCUGGCUUGGGUUGCUUUAGUUUGGUACUGUAAUUUCAAUCUAUGAACGAACAAGUUUCCCAUCCAAUUGAGAAAAUAGUUGGCACAUGGAAAGCUCCAGAUUCCAGCAUGUAUAGAUGGUCCUUUUUUUAUGUUAGUUGUAAUUUCAAUCUAUGAAUGAACAAUUUUCCCAAAUUUUUUGAUGGACCAAAUUUAGAAGGAAAAUUCUUUUCUACUAAAAUUUUCAUACAAAUUCACUUAAUUAGAAUGAUGUGGCAUCUUGGUGGGGUUUUUUUUAAUAAUUUGAGAAUUCAACUAUAUCGUUCCGUAUGUAUUUUUUUAUUUGUAUAUCAUUACUCAAUUUAAAAAUGAAGUUGUAAGGAUUGGAGUUAAUUGUUAGGGACUUUGAAAGGAGUUAACUGCUUUGGUGUCUAAAAGAUUUUGGAAUGUAGUGGAGAUAGAUCAUGCGGCAGAACUGAAUUCUUGGAACCAGUGGUGAACAUCGAUUAGAUUGGGAUUACACUACAUAAUAAGAAAUAUACAUGUUACUUUAAGCCUAAACAGAGCCAGACUAGCAUCAACCUAAUUUAGUCAUCCAAAAUUUAGCAGAAAAGAAUUAUUAAAUCCAAGUCCACCCGCUUAAUAUAUAUUAACUAUUAUCGUCAACCCACUAAUUUAGUCACACUUUGAAUAGAUAUUUAUAUUUGAGCCUAAAAAAAUUAUUAUGUGUAUUCUUUUAUUUUCUAAACAAAUAGAGUCAUACAUCUGAGAAAAAGAGAUUAAACACAGAAUAAUUUAUUGUAUUAAUAAUUGUUUGGUCUUGAAAUAUUUGGUUUUUGUUAGGUUUUGCAUUUAUUAGAGGAAGAGGAGUUGUUGGUUUGCUAUGAACUUGAGGACACAAUGUUGGACAUUCAACUGAUGUUUUUGAAGGGAAUCCUGAUGAAGUGGUUGAUAAUUACAGUGAUAGAAGAGAUGGGAGCAACAGAGAACCAGGUGUGAGAGAGUAAUACAUCAGCAAGUGAACAUGAAAUUAAGAAUGCUUAGACCAGGAUGAAUCUUUUAGGUGUUGCAAUAGACAAUGAAGUCAUGGAAAUAAGGGAUUCUUCCAACAGCUUAUUUUAGGGUUUUGUUUACGGGUCAUUUGUUCUCUCUAUGAAGUUGAGGGCUUAGUUGAAGUGCUCUGUUUCUAUAAAUUUUCUGAAUUUGGAUUCUGAAUUUGGAGUUUAUUCGGUGUAUUUAGUUUCAUGUCUUCAUUUAGGAAACCGUCAGGUUUGGUAUCAAGAUCGCUGACAUUUGUAUGUGUAUGAAUUUUUUUGUUCAUGUCUUUGUUCAAUUUCAUGAUUUUGCUGUGAAAUUUGGCUCUCCUUUCCCAGAUUUCUUUAUUUCAGCCACAACCACAUCAUCGCUGUACCGCUGUUCAAAGGUAAUUUCAUAACCGCCGAGUUUCAUGAUUUUGCUAUUCGAAUUUGGUACCUCUGUUCAAUUUCAUGAUUUUGCUGUUUUGCUAUUUUGGGGUUGGAUUGUUUUACUAUGAAGUUGAGGGCUUAGUUGAAAUGCUCUGUUUCUAUAAAUUUUAUGAAUUUGGAUUAUGAAUUUUGAGUUUAUUUGGUGUAUUGAGUUUUAUGUCUUCAUUUAGGAAACUAUUGAGUUUGGUAUCAAGAUCGCUGGCAUUUGUUCAUGUCUUUGUUCAAUUUCAUGAUUUUGCUGUGAAAUUUGGCUCUCAUUUCCUAGAUUUCUUUGUUCCAGCCACAAUCACAUCAUCGUUGUACCAUUGCUCAAAGGUAAUUUGAUUUCUCUUUUUCUCCCUUUCUCCUUUUGAGUAAUUGAGUAAUUUAGUUCACAUGUUCGAGUUCGGUAUCAAGUUCGUUGAUUUUCUUUGUUCAAUUUCAUAAUUUUGCAGUUUGAAGUGUUGGUAUAGGGUUUGCUGAAUAGUGUAGUAUGCUUAAUACAUAUAUGGCUGAAGAUCAUCUAGCAUGCUUAACACACCAUUGAGUGUUAUUCUUUGUUACUUUUUAAUCUGAAUGUUAUUCUCUGUUUCUUUUCUUUUUUUCAUUACCAAGAUGAGUUUAAUUUGGUUGUUGAUUUAGAUUUUGUUAUUUAUUCUUUUUCCUAUUAAUUGGUGUGCUUUUUUAUUUUUAUUUUUUUGAAGUACAUUAGUUAAUGACAUGGCUUUUUUUUUUUCCUUUGAUUUGAUGUCCAAGCCUGAAUUUAGGACUUAUUUGUUCUAUUUUUUUAUUUUUUAUUUUAAUACUAAUACAAUUUGUUAUUGAAGUGAUGAACAUAAACAUGAAGAGAAGCCUACAGAUCACCACCACAGGUGGUGAUGAUGUAGUUGGUGGUGGUGGUGGGUUGUUGGUGAAGAAGAGGAGGCCAAUAAAGUAUGACUCAGAUGGUAACUUGAGGCUACCAUCUAUAUCACCGCCACCACUAGGUUUUUCUUUCUCACCUCCUUUUCCAUCAUUAUUUACACCGUGCCUUCAGGCAUGGGCAGACCACCUGGUUCUGGUAACUGCCAGCUGCUUGAGAUGAAUAGGUGAGUUCAUCAAAUCAAUCCUUUAAAUCAACCUUUUCCCUUGCUGCAAUUCAAGACUUCCUUCAUCAAACACAUUGAAAACAGUAGGUAUGGUUUAACUUGAUUUUUAUUUUU